rnacentral:rRNA from 1 species
ACACAUGCAAGUCGAACGAUUGAAGCUGGAGCUUGCUCCGGCCGAUUUAGUGGCGGACGGGUGAGUAACGCGUGGGUAACCUGCCUCAUACAGGGGGAUAGCAGUUGGAAACGACUGGUAAAACCGCAUAAGCGCACGGUGUUGCAUGACACAGUGUGAAAACACUCCGGUGGUAUGAGAUGGACCCGCGUCUGAUUAGCUAGUUGGUGAGGUAACGGCCCACCAAGGCGACGAUCAGUAGCCGGCCUGAGAGGGUGAACGGCCACAUUGGGACUGAGACACGGCCCAAACUCCUACGGGAGGCAGCAGUGGGGAAUAUUGCACAAUGGGGGAAACCCUGAUGCAGCGACGCCGCGUGAGUGAUGAAGUAUUUCGGUAUGUAAAGCUCUAUCAGCAGGGAAGAUAAUGACGGUACCUGACUAAGAAGCACCGGCUAAAUACGUGCCAGCAGCCGCGGUAAUACGUAUGGUGCAAGCGUUAUCCGGAUUUACUGGGUGUAAAGGGUGCGUAGGUGGCAAGGCAAGUCUGAAGUGAAAAUCCGGGGCUCAACCCCGGAACUGCUUUGGAAACUGUUUAGCUGGAGUACAGGAGAGGUAAGUGGAAUUCCUAGUGUAGCGGUGAAAUGCGUAAAUAUUAGGAGGAACACCAGUGGCGAAGGCGACUUACUGGACUGCUACUGACACUGAGGCACGAAAGCGUGGGGAGCAAACAGGAUUAGAUACCCUGG